rnacentral:tRNA from 2 species
GGAGAUAUACCCAAGUGGCUGAAGGGUCCGCACUCGAAAUGCGGUAGGUCGGUAAAUGUUCCGGCGCGCGAGUUCAAAUCCCGCUAUCUCCGCUA